rnacentral:rRNA from 1 species
UAGGGAAUCUUCCGCAAUGGACGAAAGUCUGACGGAGCAACGCCGCGUGAGUGAAGAAGGAUUUCGGUUCGUAAAACUCUGUUGUUAGGGAAGAAAAAAUGUGUAGUAACUAUAUACAAAAGAGACGGUACCUAACCAGAAAGCCACGGCUAACUACGUGCCAGCAGCCGCGGUAAUACGUAGGUGGCAAGCGUUGUCCGGAAUUAUUGGGCGUAAAGCGCGCGCAGGUGGUUUAGAAAGUCUGAUGUGAAAGCCCACGGCUCAACCGUGGAGGGUCAUUGGAAACUAAUAAACUUGAGUGCAGGAGAGAAAAGUGGAAUUCCUAGUGUAGCGGUGAAAUGCGUAGAGAUUAGGAGGAACACCGGUGGCGAAAGCGGCUUUUUGGCCUGCAACUGACACUGAGGCGCGAAAGCGUGGGGAGCAAACAGG